CACGUAGGGGGGCAAGCGUUUGUCCGGAUUUAUUGGGCGUAAAGAGCUCGUAGGUGGCUUAGUAAGUCGGGCGUGAAACCUCCAGGCUCAACCUGGAGACGCCACCCGAUACUGCUAUAGCUUGAGUCCGGUAGGGGAGCGUGGAAUUCCUGGUGUAGCGGUGAAAUGCGCAGAUAUCAGGAGGAACACCGGUGGCGAAGGCGCCACUCUGGGCCGAAACUGACGCUGAGGGGCGAAAAGCGUGGGUAGCAAACAGGG
rnacentral:rRNA from 1 species